UACGGGGGGGGCAAGCGUUGUUCGGAAUUACUGGGCGUAAAGGGCUCGUAGGCGGCCAACUAAGUCCGACGUGAAAUCCCCAGGCUUAACCUGGGAACUGCGUCGGAUACUGGAUGGCUUGAAUCCGGGAGAGGGAUGCGGAAUUCCAGGUGUAGCGGUGAAAUGCGUAGAUAUCUGGAGGAACACCGGUGGCGAAGGCGGCAUCCUGGACCGGUAUUGACGCUGAGGAGCGAAAGCCAGGGGAGCAAACGGG
rnacentral:rRNA from 1 species